UAGCUCAGUUGGUAGAGCAUCGGUCUCCAAAACCGAGGGUCGAGGGUUCAAGUCCUUC
rnacentral:tRNA from 1 species